rnacentral:rRNA from 1 species
GAUGAACGCUGGCGGCGUGCCUAAUACAUGCAAGUCGAGCGAACAGAUCAGGAGCUUGCUCCUCUGACGUUAGCGGCGGACGGGUGAGUAACACGUGGAUAACCUAACUAUAAGACUGGGAUAAUUUCGGGAAACCGUAGCUAAUACCGGAUAAUAUAUUGAACCGCAUUGUUCAAUAGUUAAAGAAGGUUUUGCUUUCACUAAUAGACUGAUCCGCGCCGCAUUAGUUAGUUGGUUAGGUAACGGCUUAGCAAGGCAAGGAUGCUUAGCCGACCUCAGAGGGAGGUCGGCCAGACUGGAUGUGAGACACGGCCCAGACUCCUACGGGAGGAAGCAGUCGGGAAUCUUCCGCGAGGCGGGAGAGCCUGACGGAGCAACGCCGCGUGAGUGAUGAAGGACUUCGGAUCGGAAAGCUCUGUUAGUAGGAAAGAACAAAUGUGUAAGUAACUAUGCACGUAUUGACGGUACCGAAUCAGAAAGCCACGGCUAACUACGUG